rnacentral:rRNA from 1 species
AUUGAACGCUGGCGGCAUGCCUUACACAUGCAAGUCGAACGGCAGCACGGGAGCAAUCCUGGUGGCGAGUGGCGAACGGGUGAGUAAUAUAUCGGAACGUGCCCGGUCGUGGGGGAUAACGUAGCGAAAGCUACGCUAAUACCGCAUACGAUCUACGGAUGAAANCGGGGGAUCGCAAGACCUCGCGCGAUUGGAGCGGCCGAUAUCAGAUUAGGUAGUUGGUGAGGUAAAGGCUCACCAAGCCGACGAUCUGUAGCUGGUCUGAGAGGACGACCAGCCACACUGGGACUGAGACACGGCCCAGACUCCUACGGGAGGCAGCAGUGGGGAAUUUUGGACAAU